UUAUCGGAGAGUUUGAUCCUGGCUCAGGACGAACGCUGGCGGCGUGCCUAAUACAUGCAAGUCGAGCGGACAGAUGGGAGCUUGCUCU
rnacentral:rRNA from 1 species